rnacentral:lncRNA from 1 species
AAGAGGAGCUGGCUGGCUGAGCAUCCAGCACUGCCUCGUGCAGGCAAGACUCAUCCGUAAUGACAGGAAAGGAUGUCUGCCCAUGCUGGAAGCCACCUGGGACCCCAGAGCUUGCCGCACACUCUGUCAUAAAAUAUCUUGUCACCCCGUCUGACAAGAGAAAGCCAAACACCGACUUCACCCUGGUCUCUAGCUGGUGGGAGCACCUCGGGAAGUCUGCAGAAUCUCUACCUCUACUCCAUCAUCUACGUGAGGACAAGACCAGACACGGCACUUUCAAGGGUUUCUCAUGGUCUCCAGAGUGGACUUGUCACAUAGCUGAAGAUGACCUUGAACUUCUGAUGCCUUCCAAGUGCGGGUAUUACAGGCCAGCUUAUGUGGUGCUGCGGAUAAAAGCCAGGGCUUCAUGCAUGCUGGGCAAGUACCUGACCAACUGAGACACAUCCCCAGCCCGUCCUUACCACCGGAAUAUGUCCUGUGGUGCUAUGUGCUGUGACAUGAACAGAGUCUUAGCUCAAAGAAGAGCUCUUCCUUGAGGGAAAAACCAAAUUCCACAGUGCUCUCUGGGUCUAAUAUUGCCUGAGCACCCCCUCUCCGAGGGCCAGCUCUGUCCUCAACACUCAUAAUAGCCAGGGACCAAGGAGCCAGGAACUAAGCCCAGCUCUCCAGUGCCUUCUACUCUGAGGCUGGUCAUCCCAGCUUGACUUUGAAAGUCCAUGCAAGUUGCCCAAGACCAAGUCCAGCCCUGAGAGGGAGGCACAACCAGUUGUGAGAUGCCUGAUGUGGGUGUUGGGAACUGACCUCUGGUCCUCCACAAAAACAGCAAGCCUUCUUUCCUGCUGAGCCAGCUCUCUAGCCCCAGUUCUUAUUUAGCUAUGAACUAAUCAAGCAGCCUUCUCACAGACUAUAGAACCUCAUGCCCAGUGAGCCAGGAGAAAAAAAACACAUUGCCAAGUGGCCAACAUUGGUGUCUGAGAUUCGGCUCUUGUGAUUCCUAAUUGACUUAACUACAGAUCUGGAAACAACCAAGACACAUUCCUCGGGUGUGCUUGUGAGGAUGCUUCCUGGAAAGAUUGGAUGAGGUAGGAAAACCCUCCUCGCCAAUGCCCAGAUAUAAAAGGUCUGCGGAACAAACUGUCCUGCCUGCCUUUGCUGCUUCCUGGUGGGGACAUCUACCACUAGGCACCAGGGCUGCCAUGGUUGCUACCACCUCCCUUGCCGCUAGACUCUAGUUUCUUUGGGUUCCAAUAUGGACUGAAGAUCAGCGACUCCCAGGACGCUUGCAGGCCUCUAGCACAGGAUUGAGACUGUUGAAGUAUUCAACCUCACUGAGCUUCUUCUGCACUCAGAUGAGCAUUGUUGGUCUGCCCAGUCCUUGCUGGUUAAUCUUACUAGUAAAUCCCCUUUUAUAGAUGGGUAGGAAAGUAGCUGGGUAGAUGUGAAUAUGAAUUCUAUCAGCUCUGUUCCCUGGUACACAUCGCUGCCCAGGAGCCAAACACUCGACUCUAAUCCCAAACCCACCCAUUUUUUUAAUCUGCUUACUCAGUUUGAGCACAAUGAGGCUCAUUUGGUUUUAUAGCCUAUACUAUUCAUAGUUGAAACUGAAUGGGGUAGAUCUUCACCCUGCAGCCACUAUGGGCACAACUAUAACAGAAUGCCGAGUGGGGACAGAGGGCCAGAAGAAUAGCCUCUGGAACUUGGAGAAGGGGUAGGAAUGAUUUAUGAUCUCAGAAUUCACCAAAGUUGAAACAGACAUCAGCUUUCCAUCAGUGGAAAAUGCUCAGGCCUGGAUUAGCAUCCUGAGCAUGUAUCUUCCUUAGAAACUUCUAUUCCCUCCCUUUUUCCUGAAUACUUUAUAAGCCUGAGCAUGUCUAAGAAUGUGAGUUUCCUGUGUUAUGUCCCGCUCUGCCUAGACUGGCCCAACAGUGGCGCCAGUCUUUCACUAUUCCCUCAGUGACUUUCUAGAGUCCAGGAAAGUUGAUGGCGGUAGGAGUAGGGGCAGGUGCAGUACAGCAAUUUCUUCCCAGUUGUAACAUUCCAUCCUGUAGAGAAACUCCUUAAGAUUCAGGAAAUAAGCAACUCACAAGUCUCAGGAAGUCCCUGAAACUUACAAGUUUCACAAAGCCCUUCCCUGCCCAAGGUUAAAUAGGUGGUAAGAAUUGCUAAGGAGAGGAGUUCUACAUGUUGUGCAGAGAAAUUCAAGGUUCUACCUUUCAUGAGUCUCACCCAUGCUAGAAUGGGCUUUGGGUGAUGCAGCUGAUUUUGAGUCCUCCAUGUUUCUAUAUGUAACCCAAAUAAAUUCAUUGUCUCA